UACGUAGGUGGCGAGCGUUGUCCGGAAUUAUUGGGCGUAAAGCGCGCGCAGGUGGGAUCUUAAGUCCAUUUUGAAAGUUCGGAGCUCAACUCCGUGAGGGGAUGGAAACUGAGAUUCUUGAGUACCGGAGAGGAAAGCGGAAUUCCCCGUGUAGCGGUGAAAUGCGUAGAUAUGGGGAGGAACACCAGUGGCGAAGGCGGCUUUCUGGACGGUGUCUGACACUGAGGCGCGAAAGCCAGGGGAGC
rnacentral:rRNA from 1 species